rnacentral:rRNA from 1 species
AAAGAGCUCGUAGGCGGUCUGUCGCGUCGGCUGUGAAAACUCAGGGCUCAACCCUGAGCCUGCAGUCGAUACGGGCAGACUAGAGUCCGGCAGGGGAGACUGGAAUUCCUGGUGUAGCGGUGAAAUGCGCAGAUAUCAGGAGGAACACCGGUGGCGAAGGCGGGUCUCUGGGCCGGAACUGACGCUGAGGAGCGAAAGCGUGGGGAGCGAACAGGAUUAGAUACCCUAGU